CCUACGGGAGGCAGCAGUGGGGAAUAUUGCACAAUGGAGGAAACUCUGAUGCAGCGACGCCGCGUGAGUGAAGAAGGUCUUCGGAUCGUAAAACUCUGUCCUUGGUGAAGAAUAAAAUGACGGUAGCCAAGGAGGAAGCCCCGGCUAACUACGUGCCAGCAGCCGCGGUAAUACGUAGGGGGCGAGCGUUGUCCGGAUUUACUGGGCGUAAAGGGUGAGUAGGCGGUAAUAUGUGUCAGAUGUAAAAGGCUAUGGCUUAACCAUAGUUGGCAUUUGAAACUGUAUUACUUGAGUGCAGGAGAGGUAAGUGGAAUUCCUAGUGUAGCGGUGAAAUGCGUAGAUAUUAGGAGGAACACCAGUGGCGAAGGCGACUUACUGGACUGUAACUGACGCUGAGUCACGAAAGCGUGGGUAGCAAACAGGAUUAGAUACCCUGGUAGUCCACGCUGUAAACGAUGAGUGCUAGGUGUUGGGUAGCGAUAUUCAGUGCCGAAGUUAACACAAUAAGCACUCCGCCUGGGGAGUACGGUCGCAAGACUGAAACUCAAAGGAAUUGACGG
rnacentral:rRNA from 1 species